rnacentral:ncRNA from 1 species
GCUAAGGUCUUAGUCGUAGGAUACUCACAUAGUCCAAACAGAUGCAAAAUACUAUUUACAAAUAUGUCAAUCAGCGCAUAGUCGUGAAAGCGCACUUGGACCACUAACAAUAAUUGUUUCGACAAGGCAUGUGUGGAGGUAGUGACAAAGCAUUAUAUGUGACUCUGAGUCGUACUGCCUCUAGUGCAGAUCUUGGUGGUAGUAGCACAUAUUUAAAUGAGAAAUUUGAAGACUGAGUGGGGAAAGGUUCCGUGUCAAAGCAGAUGGACAUAGAUUAGUCGAUCCUAACCUCUAAGUUAAUCUGGUUUAACUCCUCUAAUGUUAGAGGGUCGAGGGAAAUGGAAUUUGGGAUAGUCCAGAAUUCGAAUAUGGAGCUUCACGUCGGCGGAGGCCCUUGAAAAAGUUUUCUUUUUUUCCAACAGCUUAUGACCCUGGAUGGAUUAAUCAGAGAUGGGGUGUGGAAGAGCAAUCAUUUAUUGAUUGUUCGGUGCGCCUACGAUUGUCUUACUGGAAAAAAAUUGUUGAGUCGUAUUGAUAUCCGCAGCAAGCCUCCAAGGUAAACAGCCUCUAGUU